UUGUAUCACUUGAUUACUAUAUAAUUCAAUUCAUUUCAAUUAAUUCAUUUCAGUUUAAUCAAUUUAAUCUAUACAAUUCGAUUUAUUCAAGUAUCUUUCAAGUUCCAUUCGUUCAUACCAAAUAUUAAAUUCCAUUAUACAAAUCACAAGAAAAUCCAUAACAUACAAAAAUUACAAGUUUGACCAUUGUUUACACUAGUUGACUUUUGGUCAAGAGUUAAAUUUUUGGUCAACCAGUUGACCAAAGUCAACUGACCCCCUUGACCAUCC
rnacentral:lncRNA from 1 species